UACUGUAGCCAAACUUCCAUGUCAUCAGAUCUCAGAAGCUAAGCAAGUCCGGGCCUGGUUAGCUCUCGGAUGGGAGACCGCUGAGAAUUCCAGGUCCUACAGUGG
rnacentral:rRNA from 1 species